rnacentral:rRNA from 1 species
GACGAACGCUGGCGGCGUGCUUAACACAUGCAAGUCGAGCGAUGAAGUUUUUUCGGAAAUGGAUUAGCGGCGAACGGGUGAGGAACACGUGAAGAAUCUGCCCUCCACUUUGGGAUAACACAGGGAAACCUGUGCUAAUACCGAAUAUUGAAACAUAAGUGGCAUCACUGAGUUUUGAAAGAAUUUCGGUGGGGGAUGACUUCGCGGCCUAUCAGCUAGUUGGGGAGGUAAGGGCUCACCAAGGCAACGCCGGGUAGCCGGCCUGAGAGGGCGACCGGCCACACUGGGACUGAGACACGGCCCGGACUACUACGGGAGGCAGCAGUGGGGAAUAUUGGGCAAUGGAGGAAACUCUGACCCAGCGACGCCGCGUGCGGGAUGAAGGCCUUCGGGUUGUAAACCGCUUUCAGUAGGGAAGAAGCGAAAGUGACGGUACCUACAAAAGAAGCACCGGCUAACUAUGUGCCAGCCGCCGCCGUAA